rnacentral:rRNA from 1 species
GCGCGCUACACUGAUGCAUUCAACGAGCCUGCGCCUGGGCCGAGAGGCCCGGGUAAUCUCCGAAGCUGCAUCGUGAUGGGGAUAGAUUAUUGCAAUUAUUAGUCUUCAACGAGGAAUGCCUAGUAAGCGCGAGUCAUCAGCUCGCGUUGAUUACGUCCCUGCCCUUUGUACACACCGCCCGUCGCUCCUACCGAUUGGGUGUGCUGGUGAAGUGGUCGGAUUGGCCGGGUUGGGUGGUCUUGUGCCACCCUCCCGGCCGAGAAGUCCAUUGAACCCUCCCACCUAGAGGAAGGAGAAGUCGUAACAAGGUUUCCGUAGGUGAACCUGCGGAAGGAUCA